CCUACGGGAGGCAGCAGUGAGGAAUAUUGGUCAAUGGACGAGAGUCUGAACCAGCCAAGUAGCGUGAAGGAUGACUGCCCUAUGGGUUGUAAACUUCUUUUAUAUGGGAAUAAAAUGUUCCACGUGUGGGAUUUUGUAUGUACCAUAUGAAUAAGGAUCGGCUAACUCCGUGCCAGCAGCCGCGGUAAGACGGAGGAUCCGAGCGUUAUCCGGAUUUAUUGGGUUUAAAGGGAGCGUAGGUGGAUUGUUAAGUCAGUUGUGAAAGUUUGCGGCUCAACCGUAAAAUUGCAGUUGAAACUGGCAGUCUUGAGUACAGUAGAGGUGGGCGGAAUUCGUGGUGUAGCGGUGAAAUGCUUAGAUAUCACGAAGAACUCCGAUUGCGAAGGCAGUUCACUGGACUGCAACUGACACUGAGGCUCGAAAGUGUGGGUAUCAAACAGGAUUAGAUACCCCUGUAGUC
rnacentral:rRNA from 1 species